rnacentral:lncRNA from 7 species
AGGUAACUGUGCCAGGGUUUUCCAGUGGGAGAAGCCUGGGAGAUGAAGCUGUAGAUCCUUCCUGCCUGUUAAGCCAGCGGACUCAGAGAGACUGGGUCCACAUUUUUCUCACCAUCCAAGGUGAGUGUAAUAUCCCACACAUUUCAACUGCCUGGCUCAUGGCACGUGACCUUUUAACAGCAGGCUGGUGAGCUUUUACGUCAUCUGAGCAUCAAAGAUUUGCUCAGCUCUUGCCAACACAGGUGUGUACGAUGAGGAGAAUAAGGAAAAAAGGGAGACAAUGAUUGCCCAAAGCCAGCCAGAACGGCAGCUUCCAUCCUGCAGAGGACCACUGGCACCAGGAGCCAGUCAAAUUGAGAAGGGCAGAGGAGAGCCUCCCUGCACUGUUAAAGGCAUUUCAGGCCAGUGUUUGCACAGUUCUCCAGAUCCCCAGUGUGAAUAAAUGUGUGGGGAUGUGAGCGACAAAAGAAGACUUAUGCCAGGGAGCUGAGCAAUGUGUAAUAUUAUGGAGCAAGCUUGAGACUUCUGGAAAUGCACUGUGCACACUUGGAAAAGGCGAUGGUCGUUCUGGGAGGCUCUGCUCAGGCAUAGUGUUUAGCUCUGCAUCCUAGCUGCCAAGCCACACUUGAAUUGUACUGCAUUUGGAUCCUGACAGAUCAAGUUACAGGUGAUGGCUGGAUUAGCUGCCUUGGUCUUGGGUCAUUUCUGCAUUGUACUUAACUGAAUAAUACCCUCCCUUCCUUCUUCUUCUUCUUCUUUUUUUUUUCUUUGCUCAUUGAUCAAGCUGCUUUUGAGAAAAGUGAUACUUUGCAUAUCUGGCUAAGUGCUGUUAACAGUCUCUGCCUGCGGUUUGUU